rnacentral:guide_RNA from 1 species
AUAUAUAUAAUAAUACGUACCUUUGGAAUUUCAGUGUGAGUUAAUGU